rnacentral:rRNA from 1 species
CCUACGGGUGGCAGCAGUGGGGAAUAUUGCACAAUGGGGAAAACCCUGAUGCAGCGACGUCGCGUGAGUGAUGAAGUAUUUCGGUAUGUAAAGCUCUAUCAGCAGGGAAGAAAAUGACGGUACCUGACUAAGAAUCCCCGGCUAACUACGUGCCAGCAGCCGCGGUAAUACGUAGGGGGCAAGCGUUAUCCGGAUUUACUGGGUGUAAAGGGAGCGUAGACGGCGGUGCAAGCCAGAGGUGAAAGCGCCGGGCUCAACCCCGGGACUGCAUUUGGAACUGUGCAGCUAGAGUGUCGGAGAGGCAGGCGGAAUUCCUAGUGUAGCGGUGAAAUGCGUAGAUAUUAGGCGGAACACCAGUGGCGAAGGCGGCCUGCUGGACGAUGACUGACGUGGAGGCUCGAAAGCGUGGGGAGCAAACAGGAUUAGAUACCCUUGUAGUC